rnacentral:lncRNA from 1 species
ACACACUGGGGGGCACUGGGACACACUGGGCAGCACUGGUGGUGGCACCAGUUCGGACUGGUUUGUACUGGGUGGCACUGGUGCCGAUGACGUCAUUGCCGGGGUGAUGGCGACAAUGACGAUGACGAUGAUGAUGAUAACGAUGACAGUGAUAACGAUGUUAAUGAUGAUAACAGUGACAAGCUCAUCGUUACGUCAUUAAUAUCUUAUCAAUGAUGAUAUCGAUGAUGAUAACGACGAUAACGCUGAUAACAAUGACGAUAGUGAUGAUAACGACAAUGACAAUGCUGAUAAUGAUGAUAACGAUAUCAAUGAUAUUGAUAAUAGUGACAAUAGCAACAAUAUAACAAUAAUGAUGAUAACGAUGAUGAUAACGACGAUAUCGACGAUAUUGAUGACAAUAGUGACAAUAUAACAAUAGUGAUGAUAACGAUGAUGAUGACAAUGAUAAUGAUGAUAACGAUGAUAAUGACGAUAUCGCUGAUAUUGAUGAGGAUAGUGAUGAUAACGACAACGACAAUGACAAUAGUGACAAUAAUGACAAUGAUAAUGACAAUAAUGACGAUGACGAUGAUGACGAUGAUGACAAUAAUGACGAUAAUGAUAACGAUGAUGAUAACGACGAUAUCAACGAUAUUGAUGAUGAUAGCAACAAUAUAACAAUAAUGAUGAUAACGAUGAUGAUGAUGAUGACGAUAAUGAUGAUAACAACGAUGAUGCCGAUGGCAACGAUGAUAGUGACGAUAACGACAAUGACAAUGACAAUAAUGAUGAUAACGAUGAUGACGAUGACGACGAUAACGAUGAUAAUGAUGAUAUUGAUGAUGAUAACGACGAUAUCAAUGAUAUUGAUGAUAAUAGUGACGAUAACGACAAUGAUAAUGACAAUAAUGAUGAUAACGAUGAUGACGAUGACGAUGAUAAUGAUGAUAAUGAUAAUGAUAACGACAAUAUCGCUGAUAUUGAUGACGAUAGCGACGAUAGUGACAAUGACAAUGCCGAUAACGAUGACGAUAACAACAAUAUCAAUAACGAUAUUGAUGAUGAUAGUGUCCAUAAUGCUGAUAACAAUGACAAUAGUGAUGAUAACAAUGACAAUAACGAUAAUGACGAUAACGAUGAUGAUAACGACGAUAUCAAUGAUAUUCAUGACGAUAGCGACAAUAUAAUAAUAAUAACGAUAACGAUGAUGACGAUAAUGAUGAUAAUGAAGAUGAUAACGA